rnacentral:rRNA from 1 species
AUUGAACGCUGGCGGCAUGCCUUACACAUGCAAGUCGAACGGCAGCACGGGAGCAAUCCUGGUGGCGAGUGGCGAACGGGUGAGUAAUGUAUCGGAACGUACCUUUCAGUGGGGGAUAACGUAGCGAAAGUUACGCUAAUACCGCAUAUUCUGUGAGCAGGAAAGCAGGGGAUCGCAAGACCUUGCGCUGAUUGAGCGGCCGAUAUCAGAUUAGCUAGUUGGUGAGGUAAAGGCUCACCAAGGCGACGAUCUGUAGCGGGUCUGAGAGGAUGAUCCGCCACACUGGAACUGAGACACGGUCCAGAUUCCUACGGGAGGCAGCAGUGGGGAAUUUUGGACAAUGGGCGCAAGCCUGAUCCAGCCAUGCCGCGUGAGUGAAGAAGGCCUCGG